AUACAGUCUUUUACUUUAUUAGCUGAAGAAAAAUGGAUGCCCUUUUAAGAUUUUAAGACUGAGAAACAAAAAGAAGUCAGAAGAAGCCAAAUCAGUACUGUAAGCUGGGUGCCUAAUGACUUCCCAUUGAAACUCUUGAAAAAUUGCCCUUGUUUGAUAAACAGAAUAACCAGGAGCAUUGUUGUGCUGGAGGAGGACUCUGGUGAAGCUUUCCUAGGUAUUAUUGUGCUAAAGCUUUGGCUCAAAACACUCCCAUUAAAAGCAGGUGUUAUUAUUUAUUGGCUCUACAGAAGAUCAACAAGCAAAAUGCCUUAAGCAUACCAAAAAAUUGUAGCCACGACAGGUCCACUUUUGCCAUGAUGGAUCACUUCCACCUCUUGGUAGACAUUGCUUUGAUUGUGCUUUGCCUUUAAGACAGUACCAGGAAAGCCAUGUUUCAUCUCCUGUUACAAUUCUUUGAAUAAAUGCUUCAGGAUCAUGGCCUCAUUUGUUCUCACUUGGAUAAUUCCAUUGAAAUUUCUGCUCUUAUUUGUAGCUGAUCUGGGCUCAACAGUUCUGAUAUCUGUCGAGUGGAAAGUUUACUCAAUUUUAACUUUGCAGUCAGAAUUGCUUAAGCUGAACUAAUUGAGAUGUCUAUAGUGUUGGCUAUUGUUUCUACCAUUAAUCAUCAGUCCUCUUCAAUUAGGGCAUGAAUAAGACAAAUUUUUUCCUCACAAAUCGAUGUGGAUGGUCUGUCACUGCAGGCCUCAUCUAUGAUAUUGU